GACUGGUAGCAACAUGUGGCCUGACACCGCUCAUGGACCAUUGCUUUCUGAAAGGCGCCAUCAUUAGAGGGAGUUUCAGACAGAGGCAAUGAUGAGCUGUCAACACGUGAGAAAGAAUUGACUAAUGCAACAGACAUGCAACUUACUUUCAUCUAUGAAACUUCUGGUGUUAUUAGAAAGAGUAUAUCCAUGAACAUUAUUAAAGAAUGUUAUUUUACGUGAAGUAUUCAGAAAUAUUUCCUACACUUUGAAUGUUUAAGAAAUAAUACUUACAUUGCCAUUUUCAAAUUAAACUUGUCACAAAAUCUCAGAGCAUAACAGUGAAACAAAGGGAUUGUUUUUCAGAAACAAAGAAGUGUCUUAAAACUACUCAACACAAUUUGAAUCUUUCCUGAAACUUGAUCUACAUAUUUCCCGGCAAUGUAUUUUUACCAACCUUCAAACUAAACUUCUUUGUUAAAUGUAUGACUUGAUGGCGAUGUUGGAUAUGAAACUACUGUAAGUACUUUCCCUUUUAAAUUUCAGUUGUCAAGUCACGUUAUCUAGUUUAUACUUCUCUGAAUUAUAUUCAGUGCUUUCCCAUUCUUUGCUAACACAACAUCUCAUAAAAUCACAUAGGGUAACAUAAUAUGACAGUUAAAUUUAAGAGACCUCUUAUUUUAUUUGAAAUUCAACCAAUGUUCCAAUUUAAUGGCAAUAGAUGAUUAGAGAAGAAAUGACAUCCUCAUUUCAGAGAUAUUUUUACUCCAAUGUAUUUUUAAUGCUCUCAUGUCUUUUAUUAUUUUGACAGGUUUUCAGAAACAGUUUCAGAAGCCCUUGUUUGGGCCCUGAUUUUUUCCAAUGAGAGAUAUUUAAAAGUUUCAUGAGCACACUAUUGUAAUACAUGAUACUAUUGAAUGAAAACAUUCUUAAAAGGUAAUUUAAAUAUUUACAUUGUUGAUAAAACCUUCUAGUGAAAACACCUGCCAAAUAACUAGGAGGCAAAUGACUUUCUCUACUCAAUAGCAUGCAAUCUGAACCAGAACUCACCAAUAAUGAUAUUGAAACAGUUCUGAUGACACAGUGAUGGCACUUACUGAAAAGGGGUCAUGAUAUGUAAGCAUAUGAUAAUAUAUCUGAUAAUUAGAAGCAAAAGACAAAUCAAAUAACAAAAGAUGCAUACACAAGAUCGGAUGUUGAUUUAAAAAAAUAAUAUACUCUUCUUCCUGGACAUUUUAAGUGUCUUAAAAGAUAUCAUCUCUAAAUAAACAAUGCUUUCAUGGGAAAACAAACACACCUUGGUACUUUUCAGGUAGUAUUUUAUACACUGCAAAUUCUAGAAACAAAGUGGAUUCACAUGUAUUGCACCACGUGAUCCUCACAAACAUCUGCAACUCCAUUGAUUUCUCCUGUUAAUCAAUGGAAAACAUGAAAAUCUCCAAGAUCAACUGGCUUCUAUAUUCCACAAAAUCAUGUGGCAAAGUCCCAAUGAUGAUUUCAAGUUGCCGCUUUACCACAGGUAAAGUGCUGUCUUUAGUGACAUAUGCUGGUCUGACCCUCUUCGCCAAGCGCAUUAUCCUGGACUCAUGACUAACCAAAACUCCAAGAGGUUUUUGUUUGUUUGCUUGUUUGUUUUAAAUGUUUUCAAUUUAUAGCACUUGUGCUUACAUUUUGUGUGUAGGUCUCUUUGCCUUCUAAUGCAGUAAAAUUUAAUGCAGUAAAAUCUUAAGUACUGAAAAUUUAUAAAGAGAAGCCAUGAACCUCUUUUAGCAGGUGCAGUUGGGCGGAGACAGAUCCUAUAGGGCAAAAGAGCCAUCAGAGCAAUACAGGGCUAAGAUAUUACCUGCUGUUUACAGAACAGCCUCUAAGGAGUUUAAAGCACGUUACAAAUCCAAUUUGACUAAUCCCAGUGAAGGGCGUGGAGCUCUGCAGAGAACUGCAAAUGAUCACUGCUCUCGUUUACCAUCUCCACUACACUGAAGAGGGACUGUGCCUUCUACUCGAGCAUCAUAAAUCUGUGACACAGCUCAGGCUGGUGCAACACGAACGAAAGCUGAGGAAUGAGGCAGAGAAAGACAAUGGAAAGAGGGAAGAAGCUAAAAUUAUUAAAAGAAAAAAACAUUGUUUCCUUGCCUCACUAAAGCCUUCCAAGGUCUGGUCCACCUCGACCGCAUGUCGAACACUGCUGCUCCUCUCUCUCCAUAUCUGUCGUGUUUAAUAUUUGAAUGUAUUAAAUCAUGGCAGCUGGUCAUUUUAAAGUUUUGCCCACUUUAUCAGGAGACUAACAUCCCAAUAAUGUUCAUAGUUUUAGGGGGACGGCUUCCAAUUCUACCAAGGUUUAUCUUUUUUAGUUUUUCUCUUCAAACUUAAUUGCUUAAGUAGUUUAUAAAUAUAGUAGCUAUCUUUUCAGGAGCACCUCUACAGUGACAGCCACUCUUAAGGUGCAAUUUUCCUCCUUAUACGAUUUACUCCUCAUUACAAACUUACAAGUAUUAGUGUACAAAUAUGAUUGAAUAGUACUCAACCUCAAAAAAGAAGGAAAUCCUGCCAUAUGCGACAACAUGGGUGGACGUGGAGGACAUCACGCUAAGAGAAACAAGCCAGAUACAGAAGGACAAAUACUGCAUGAUUCCACGUAUAUGAGGUAUCUAAAAUAAUCAAAUUCAUGGAAGCAAAGAAUAUAAUUGUGGUUUUUAGGGGCUGAGGGAGAGCAGAAAUGAAGAUUUGCUGGUCAAUAUGUAUAGAAUUUCAGUUAUGGGGGAUGAGUAAGUUCUCAUGAGCUACUAUGCAACAUCAUGCCUAUAGAAAACACUUAAAAAUGUGCAAGGGUGGAGCUCAUGUUACAUGUUAUUACCACAGUAAAAGAAACAUAAAAAGAAAAAUAGACUCCAUGCUCAUUUGAGUUAUGAAGAAGCAGAGAUUCAGAGAUGUUAAAGAAAUGCGCCAGGGUUAUAGAGAUGGUAAGUGGUAAAGCAGAACACACUGUUAUCAUUCAAGGUUCUCAAGACAAAUAUGAGCAGAAACUACAGAUGGAGAUUAUAAUAUUAUCUAUUAGCUAUAUGAUACAUAAUAUUAUUAUAUAUACAAAAUAUAUAUAGAGAGAGAGACUUGAAGGAGUUGACUUGUGUGAUUUUGGGGCCUGGCAAGUCCUAAAUUCACACUGGAAGGCAACUGGCUGGAAACUCAGGUAAAAUUUGAAGUUGCAGCUUGAGUCCUAAAUCUACAGGUCAGGACAUCAGGCUGGAAACUCAGGAAAGGAUGUCUACAUUACAGUUUUGAGGAAGAAUUCCUUCUCUGGAAAACCUCAGUUUUUGCUUUUAAGGUUUUGGACUGAUGGGAUGAGUGAGGUCUACCCACAUUUUUGCAGGUGAUCUCCCCUACUUAAAGUCAAAUGUGACUUGUAUCUACAAAAUACCUUCACAGCAUCAUCUAGAGAGAACUUGACCAAGCAGCACUGAGCACCAUUUCCUAGCCAGGAAAUGGUUUUAGUUGACACAUAAAAUCAACUGUCUACAAUACCUAAAACCCCAAACCAUGUGCUGAACAGUCACAUGGCAAUGCUUUCAAUAUCUGAAAUUUUUGGAGUUCAAUAUCUUACCUAUAAUUAUGUAAUAUAAGUUGUUGGCAUUCCAAUUACCUAUUUACUUCAAUGCAUUUUUAUUAUGUAGUAAAUAUGUGUGUGUAUGUGUACAUAUAUGGAUACAUAUAUACAUCUAUAUGUAUAUACUAACCAAUUUAGACUGAGACUAAUA